GGGAUUGAGGAAAGAUGAACAAAAAAGGGAUUAAGGUUCUUGAGGAGAGAUGAAGUUACUAGAGACGUGAAUGAAGAAGGUUUUUUUUUAAUUUCCAGAAUUUAAUAACCUUACGUAAAUUGAUAAAUAUACUAAACAAUUAUUAAAUGUAUUUUUAAAUAAAAUAAUGGUUUAAUUUUUUAAAAAAAGUCAGACUUGUU
rnacentral:lncRNA from 1 species